rnacentral:rRNA from 1 species
CACGGAGGAUGCGAGCGUUAUCCGGAUUUAUUGGGUUUAAAGGGUGCGUAGGCGGCUUUUUAAGUCAGCGGUGAAAUUUUGCAGCUUAACUGUAACAGUGCCGUUGAUACUGGGGAGCUAGGAUUUGGUUGCUGUGGGUGGAAUGUGUGGUGUAGCGGUGAAAUGCUUAGAUAUCACACAGAACACCGAUUGCGAAGGCAGCACACUAAGUCAUUAUUGACGCUGAGGCACGAAAGUGUGGGGAUCAAACAGGAUUAGA